UCAUUUAAUUGAUGACUUGUAUGAAGGAUUGGAUGAAAUAUAAACUGUCUCUUAAUUAUUAUAUUUAGAAUUUAAUUUUUUAAUUAAAAAGUUAAAAUAUAUUAAAAAGACGAGAAGACCCUAUAGAGUUUUAUAAUUUAGGUUUAUUGAGAUUAUUUAUAAAAUUAAAAUUAAAAUUAAUCUAUUUAUUUUGUUGGGGUGACAGAAAAAUAUAAUAAACUUUUUAUAUAUUUUAACAUUAAUAAGUGAUUAAAUGAUCCAAUAUUAUUGAUUAUAAGAAAAAAUUACCUUAGGGAUAACAGCGUAAUUUUUUUUUUUAGUUCAUAUAAAAAGAAAAGUUUGCGACCUCGAUGUUGGAUUAAGAUAAAAUUUAAAUGUAGAAG
rnacentral:rRNA from 1 species